CGCCUUUUGAAAUAUAAACAUAAAAGGUCCUGCCUGCCCAAUGACUUGUUUUAAUGGCCGCGGUAUAAUGACCGUGCAAAGGUAGCGUAAUCAUUUGUCCUCUAAAUAGGGACCAGUAUGAAUGGCAAAACGAAAGCCUUACUGUCUCUCUAGCCUAGUCAAUGAAAUUGAUCUUCCCGUGCAGAAGCGGGAAUAAAAAUAUAAGACGAGAAGACCCUGUGGAGCUUUAAACUUAAGUUUUAGGUUGGGGCGACCAUGAGGUACAACAUAACCCUCACGACAAUAAAUAGAAGGACACUUCAAAUAUUGACCCAAUAAUUGAUCAACGAACCAAGUUACCCCAGGGAUAACAGCGCAAUCCGCUCAAAGAGUCCAUAUCGACGAGCAGGUUUACGACCUCGAUGUUGGAUCAGGACCCCCAAAUAACGCAACAGUUAUUAAAGGUUCGUUUGUUCAACGAUUAAAGUCCU
rnacentral:rRNA from 1 species